AUACAGAGGGUGCAAGCGUUAAUCGGAUUUACUGGGCGUAAAGCGCGCGUAGGUGGCUAAUUAAGUCAAAUGUGAAAUCCCCGAGCUUAACUUGGGAAUUGCAUUCGAUACUGGUUAGCUAGAGUAUGGGAGAGGAUGGUAGAAUUCCAGGUGUAGCGGUGAAAUGCGUAGAGAUCUGGAGGAAUACCGAUGGCGAAGGCAGCCAUCUGGCCUAAUACUGACACUGAGGUGCGAAAGCAUGGGGAGCAAACAGGAUUAGAUCCCCUGGUAGUCCAUGCCGUAAACGAUGUCUACUAGCCGUUGGGGCCCUUGAGGCUUUAGUGGCGCAGCUAACGCGAUAAGUAGACCGCCUGGGGAGUACGGUCGCAAGACUAAAACUCAAAUGAAUUGACGGGG
rnacentral:rRNA from 1 species